UACGUAGGGUGCAAGCGUUAAUCGGAAUUACUGGGCGUAAAGCGUGCGCAGGCGGUUGUGCAAGACAGAUGUGAAAAUCCCCGGGCUUAACCUGGGAACUGCAUUUGUGACUGCACGGCUAGAGUGCGGCAGAGGGGGGAUGGAAUUCCGCGUGUAGCAGUGAAAAUGCGUAGAUAUGCGGAGGAACACCGAUGGCGAAGGCAAUCCCCUGGGCCUGCACUGACGCUCAUGCACGAAAGCGUGGGGAGCAAACAGG
rnacentral:rRNA from 1 species